UACGAGGGGGGCGAGCGUUGUUCGGAAUUAUUGGGCGUAAAGGGUGCGUAGGCGGUUUGGUAAGUCUUGUGUGAAAUCUCCAGGCUCAACCUGGAGUCUGCACGAGAAACUGCCGGGCUUGAGUGUGGGAGAGGUGAGUGGAAUUCCUGGUGUAGCGGUGAAAUGCGUAGAUAUCGGAAAGAACACCAACGGCGAAAGCACUCUGCUGGGCCGACACUGACACUGAGAGACGAAAGCUAGGGGAGCGAAUGGG
rnacentral:rRNA from 1 species